rnacentral:misc_RNA from 1 species
UCGGUUGAUCCAUGUCAGUUCUUUAGCAGGCCGUCAGGUAGCUAUUGGUAGACAUUGAUCCCGGUCAAUUUUUCCGGUCGCUAGUGCAGCUACCUUGAAGCCAUUGAAGAGACGGUCAGUGAAGUAAAAGGAGUCAGCCAUGUUUAUCGAUGAAGUGCUGUUGGUCGGAAUGGCAGUCAUUGGGUUGAUGCUCGUCUUCGUUGGCAGAGUCGGUUAUUUCGUCUGGAAGGACUCCCGAGAAUACAAAUAAGGCAAGUUCUUCGGAUCCAGAGCACGCAAGGCACUUUUGGGCGACUUGGUCGCCCUUU